GGAGCCGCGCGGGAGUGGGAGGAGGAGGAGCGGGAGCGGCAGAGGCGGGGGAAGCAGCGGAGGCGGCGGCCCCUGGUCAAAGUCCCACGCGUGCUACGGCGGCGGCCGUUGCGGUGGUGGUGCGCGGCGGAACUGGCGGCGUGGUUCUACAAGCAGGUGUGCCGCGCGCCGCAGUAGCCGCCGCCUCCGCUGCGGCCGCAGCUCGUCCUCAGGCUCGACCCGGAGAAGCUGCGGAAGAAGCGGUCGGAGAGGUACUAGGAGCAGUCGCUCUAACCGCUGCUCUGCAAGUAGUAACGCCGAGAGUACCGCUACGCCGUGGGGUUCAGCUGCCACGAGAGGCCACGCGACAGCCGCGACCAACAGUACUGCCAUGAUAGUUGACCCGAACCGUCCUAGCAAGGCUUGAACUAUAGCUCCUUCGUAUGAUUGUCGCGUCGUUGACAGGAAAUGCGCAAGAAACCCGACGCUGACGAAAUGUAACGAACCUCUAGUCUAAGAUCCCGUAGUGUCUUGUUCCUUUAUCUUCUUCAUGUCCUUUUCGACCUUCGUCCAGUUCCCUUUAGUUGUAAAUCUGCACACAAGAGUUCCAAUACAUGAGGAUAAAAGAACCUCAGUAAACACAACUGGAAGGACCGACUCACCCCGCUGGCUUCAGUCUAUCGGUGUUAACGCGACCGAUGCGUGUUCUUACGACAUCCACAACGGUAGCCACGUUGGAACCCCGUGUGGUAGACGUGCAGUAAGCGUCACCACCCGCCGUCAUACGAACGAAGCUCCUAUAGCGUUCCGUGGCAUCGGUGGUAACCUCCGGAGGACAAGGAACCGAAGAGACAUAGUAGUAUGAAGAUGGGUGGUAACAUUAGCGUGGGACACGAAGGACGUAGUAAAAAAAAACGUAAACAACCAUUCUAGUGUGAGGCAUUCGGGGCAGUGGAGUAGAAUGAAUCGUCGUACACUACGGACCGUAUGUCAAAAAGCAACAUGGUGCUGUGACUAUAUACAUACCUCAUCCCUAUACUAGUGACGAUUAUAUAUGUUCAACUGGGCUAAGGUUCUUUACCCAUAGGACUCGGGGCUAACGAAACAGUUAGAC
rnacentral:rRNA from 1 species